UACGUAGGGUGCGAGCGUUAAUCGGAAUUACUGGGCGUAAAGCGUGCGUAGGCGGUUGGCUAAGUCAGAUGUGAAAGCCCUGGGCUCAACCUGGGAAUGGCAUUUGAAACUGGCCGGCUAGAGUGUGAUAGAGGAUGGCGGAAUUCCCGGUGUAGCGGUGAAAUGCGUAGAGAUCGGGAGGAACAUCCGUGGCGAAGGCGGCCAUCUGGAUCAACACUGACGCUGAGGCACGAAAGCGUGGGGAGCAAACAGG
rnacentral:rRNA from 1 species